rnacentral:rRNA from 1 species
GACGAACCGUGCGACCGUUGUUCGGAUUCACUGGGCUUAAAGGGCGCGUAGGCGGAUGGUCAAGUCGGGGGUGAAAGCCCUGGGCUCAACCCAGGAAGUGCACUCGAAACUGCCUCGCUGGAGUGCCGGAGAGGAAAGCGGAAUUCUCGGUGUAGAGGUGAAAUUCGUAGAUAUCGAGAGGAACACCGGUGGCGAAGGCGGCUUUCUGGACGGUUACUGACGCUGAGACGCGAAAGCGUGGGGAGCAAACAGG